rnacentral:lncRNA from 1 species
UAGAUGUUCAUUCUCUCUCUCAAACUCCCUACUCAGUCUGGUAACUUUAAAUAUCUUUUGAGAACAAACAAACCUAUUUUCUCUUGAUUGAACUUUAAUUUACACUAUUGUUUUACUGUUUGGUUUUGGCAGUUGAUAAGGAAUAUCAGAACGUUUUCCUGCAGUUGAUGAAUUUUUGUCAUUAUGUUGAAGACGAGUCAACUUGACCAAAGCGUUAACCAUGACAUUUGCUAUCACGGAAGGUCGGAGAUGUCUCUCUUUGCUUGAGGCGACCAUGAGAACACUUUAUCAGAUGUUAUACAAAAACUGGUGAGCAUUCAGGCAGCUGGCCCCAGCUUCAGUCUGGAUCUGCCUGGAGCAGCCCUCAGCCCGGGGUUUCACCACUAGAUUCAGGACCUAUUUCUUCUUCGUGGGGACGGCCUUUUUGGAUUCAGUGGUGAACUGGGGAAAGUAGUUCUCAUUGAAUCUCAGAAGAUCUUCUGUAGUUACUUAAGCACACACACUACAUACACACACACAUACACACCACACACCCAACACACACACCCACACACACCACACAGCACACCUCACCAGCACACACACCAUAGACACACUACACACACACGUGCCACAUCUCCAACACACACCACACACACACACUGCACACACACACCCAACACACACACCACAUCCCCAACACGCACCACACACACACUUCACAAACACACCCAAUACACACACCCCCACACACCACACACACUACACACACACCCAACACACACACCACAUCCCCAACACACACCACACACACUACACACAUAAUACGUACGCCCCCACAUACCACACACAUACCACAAAGCACACCUCCCCAACACACACACUAUAGACACACUACACACACACCCCACAUCCCCAACACACACACUACACACACACCCAACACACACACCACAUCCCCAACACACACCACACACACACUACACACACACCCAAUACACACACCACACAUACACCACACCUCCAACACACACACCGUAGACACACUACACACAUACCACACCCCCAACACACAGACAUAACACCCACACCCAACACACACAGCACACACACCACACCCCCAACACACACACCGCACACACCUCCAACACACACACACCACACACACUACACACCCCCAACUCACACACACACCACACACUCAUAGCCGCCAUGCCUCUGUCCUGCCUCUGCAGUGUCUGAGCGGCGGGCAAGCGCUGAAGCCUCGGUGACGAAAGCCACGUUUCACGGCCACCACGUGCUUUUUAACGAAUUAAUUGUGUCCCCUUUCCCUGGAUGUUGAAGGCUGCCUGAGUGCUCCUGUGAAUGCGCAAAGGACACAAAGAGAAGACGACAGGCCAGAGCCUUGGGGCCAACGUGGGCCUUCAGCAGGGCCUGGGGAGGGGUGAGGGCCGGGGAGCGCCCUGUGGCCUGGCGGGUCCCGUGUGUCGGAAGAGCGGUUCCCUGGGCGGUCACUGAGCUGUCUCCGGCAGAAGCCAGAAAGACGAUGUGUGUGGAGGAUUAAAGAUUGGAAUGCAAGUCCCGUCCUCUCCUGGGUCCUGGAAAGACACGAGCCUACGAG